rnacentral:rRNA from 1 species
AUUGAACGCUGGCGGCAGGCCUAACACAUGCAAGUCGAACGGUAACAGGAAGCAGCUUGCUGCUUUGCUGACGAGUGGCGGACGGGUGAGUAAUGUCUGGGAAACUGCCCGAUGGAGGGGGAUAACUACUGGAAACGGUAGCUAAUACCGCAUAACGUCGCAAGACCAAAGAGGGGGACCUUAGGGCCUCUUGCCAUCGGAUGUGCCCAGAUGGGAUUGGCUAGUAGGUGGGGUAACGGCUCACCUAGGCGACGAUCCCUAGCUGGUCUGAGAGGGUGACCAGCCACACUGGAACUGAGACACGGUCCAGACUCCUACGGGAGGCAGCAGUGGGGAAUAUUGCACAAUGGGCGCAAGCCUGAUGCAGCCAUGCCGCGUGUAUGAAGAAGGCCUUCGGGUUGUAAAGUACUUUCAGCGGGGAGAAAGGGAGUAAAGUUAAUACCUUUGCUCAUUGACGUUACCCGCAGAAGAAGCACCGGCUAACUCCGUG